UCAAAGACUGAUAUUUCCCAUAUGUCCUUAGUUUUGAUAAUUUACCCACAGUCUCUUCCUGUCCUUUAUUAUCUUAUCUCUGUCCUCACUUAACCUUUUAUCACUCAUUAUUUUCCUCUUCUUACAUUUCACAUGUUUAUUAGAAACUUUUCUGUUGCUGAUGAUAAAAUGUCACUAUCAAAACAACCUAUAGAAAGAAGAGUUUCUUUGGAUCUAUCAUUGUUGAAGUCUAUACUCUUUUGCACAGUUGUAGAAGAGUCUGUUGUGGUAGGAGCUUGAUAGCAGAUAAAUAUGAUGGCUAGAGUAGCUGAAAAAUCACAUUUCCUAAAGCAAAAUGAGCUUGUGGGACUUGUAAUUCAAG
rnacentral:lncRNA from 1 species